UACGUAGGGGGCAAGCGUUGUCCGGAAUCAUUGGGCGUAAAGCGCGUGUAGGCGGCCCGGUAAGUCCGCUGUGAAAGUCGGGGGCUCAACCCUCGGAUGCCGGUGGAUACUGUCGGGCUAGAGUGCGGGAGAGGCGAGUGGAAUUCCUGGUGUAGCGGUGAAAUGCGCAGAUAUCAGGAGGAACACCGGUGGCGAAGGCGGGUCUCUGGGCCGAUACUGACGCUGAGGAGCGAAAGCGUGGGGAGCAAACAGG
rnacentral:rRNA from 1 species